AACGCGCGCACACAGGAACCGCAGGAACAAUGUGGAUGCUAGACACCGAAAGUACUAAGAUGCUCCAGGACAUGAAAUUUGGAUUGAUCAUGGCUAUUCCAUUCUUCGUCCUCCUUGUGUUCCUGGUGGUAUUUGCCGUCAUCCUCUACUGCACGUUUUGCCGCAAAAAGACAGAGACCUGAGAACAUCACAGCCCUGCUAUAAAGUGAAAC